rnacentral:rRNA from 1 species
UACAGAGGUCCCAAGCGUUGUUCGGAUUCACUGGGCGUAAAGGGUGCGUAGGCGGUCGGGUAAGUCUGACGUGAAAUCUCCGGGCCUAACCCGGAAACUGCGUUGGAUACUACUCGGCUAGAGGAAUGGAGGGGAGACUGGAAUACUUGGUGUAGCAGUGAAAUGCGUAGAUAUCAAGUGGAACACCAGUGGCGAAGGCGAGUCUCUGGACAUUUCCUGACGCUGAGGCACGAAAGCCAGGGGAGCAAACGGG